rnacentral:rRNA from 1 species
AGUGAACGCUGGCGGUAGGCCUAACACAUGCAAGUCGAACGGCAGCACAGUAAGAGCUUGCUCUUACGGGUGGCGAGUGGCGGACGGGUGAGGAAUACAUCGGAAUCUACUUUUUCGUGGGGGAUAACGUAGGGAAACUUACGCUAAUACCGCAUACGACCUACGGGUGAAAGCAGUGGAUCUUCGGACCUUGCGCGAUUGAAUGAGCCGAUGUCGGAUUAGCUAGUUGGCGGGGUAAAGGCCCACCAAGGCGACGAUCCGUAGCUGGUCUGAGAGGAUGAUCGGCCACACUGGAGCUGAGACACGGUCCAGACUCCUACGGGAGGCAGCAGUGGGGAAUAUUGGACAAUGGGCGCAAGCCUGAUCCAGCCAUACCGCGUGGGUGAAGAAGGCCUUCGGGUUGUAAAGCCCUUUUGUUGGGAAAGAAAAGCAGCAGGUUAAUACCCCGCUGUUCUGACGGUACCCGAAGAAUAAGCACCGGCUAACUUCGUG